rnacentral:lncRNA from 1 species
GAGGAUUUUGAGUUCUGUCUGUCUUUUGUCCACAAAGAAUUUCCUGUGGACAAAUGGUGAGGGAGGUAUGUAGCUUCUCAUCUUCAUAGCUAUCUUAUUUAGGAAUAAAAUAGGAGGUAGGUUUGCCUGACAUAGUGUCCAGCUUGAUUUUUCUCUGGGCUGAGUGACUUUGGGGUCCUGAGAUUUAUUUUCCUUUCACACUACUGUCUUCAGAAAGAGGAUGGUGAGACAUUCAUAGAACAUUGAGGGUUGUAUCACUGUAGCCGCAGCCAUCUUUCCCUCUCAUUAGAUUGAUAUAUCUAGAACUGAAAAGAUCAAGAUAUGAGGAGCAUGGAGUUAUAUUCACACAUCAUCUGUGGGCUCCAAAUUUCCCCAGGAUUAUUUAUUGUCAGUAUACAUGACAAUGAGAAGGAAACAGAGUAAGGAAGGAGUGCCAAGGGCCACGCUGGGGAUGAAAGCUACAGAAACCACACAUUGCCACACAGGAAGGGUGGCUAGGGUGAGGAUGAGUGACUGUUGGGAUUAGGGAGUGAGCAUUGGGAUCGCUGGCAGAGAGAAGGUGACAUGGUCCCAUCUGAAACCCAUGUGACCCCACAGUCUUCUGCCAGAACAGAGAAGCAUGUUUGGGAGCUCAGCAUUGAAGACUUUAGACUCUUUCCCAUGUGUCCUGUUUGAACAAUCUUUUUUUUUUUUUCCAGAGGGGAAAAGUGAGAAUCGAAAAAACACAGGCUGUGAUAAAUCAGAAAGCUUUGUAUAAUACAAACAAUAAAAAAGGGUUGGACAUCUUCAGGAAGCAGGAAAAACUCCAGCAGCUAAAACUGAGAACAGUGUGUUUAGGAGGCAAUGAAUACACCAUUCUGGCUGAGGCAAAAAACUUGUCUGGUGACAUAGUAAAAGACAAGACUGGAAGGUUUACAAGAAGAGUCUACCAGUCCUGUAAUAUCUGGAUGUCUGCCUGGGUCCCUGACUGAGCUGCUGUCCUUCGAGCUGAAUAGAUGAUAUGAGCUCAUCCACACUGGUACUCUCCAGGACUACCAAGUACAGAAGAAUACACAGAAGAAUGCCCAAUUUGGGGAUAACCUGUCAAAGGCUUCCUCCCAGGAACUAUUCCUAGAACAGUGGCAAUGU